rnacentral:misc_RNA from 1 species
AGUCGAGCAUGAUCAGAAAGAGAAUAAUUUUCAGGCCACAUCCCUUUCUCUGCUUCACGGGGGAAAAGAGCAGCAUCUUUUACAGUGAAGCCGAUAGCUUCUUCUACACCUGGCUCAGUCUCCUUUGUACUUGCAGCNNNNNNNNNNUUGCUCCAGACAUGCUGACCUCCAAAUCGUCAGCUUAAAUUCUUCAUAAUCAACAAUGCCAUUUCCAUCAAUGUCUGCUAGGAUCCAUAGAUCUUUUGUCUCCUGGAAAC